rnacentral:tRNA from 1 species
UCCGAAUUGGUCCAGUGGUAGGAUUUCUCAUUGUCGCUGAGACGGCCGGGGUUCGAUUCCCCGAUUCGGAG